rnacentral:lncRNA from 1 species
GCAGAAUAUGUCGGAACAACAGACAGAAACUCUGGACUGCAAUGAAUAGCGUAGACAAUAGUAGCAGCAGCAGCAUGCAGAGGUUUCAGAGAAUGUCCCCUUGUCCCUCAUCAUAGCUCUUUACAGAGGUCCUUAAGGGCCACCUCGAGGAACCCAGGCAAUUUUUUUUUUCUCUAAGAAGGUAACAGAGGUAGGAAAAUUACCAGAUCAUGGAGGACAAGGAAGCCAUUAUAGGAAGUAGAAGGCCAAUUGUGGGCCCUCAAGUCAACCAGGCAAUAGCAGGGUCUAGAGAGGGAUGGGGGUUCUGUGCUGCCAACAGCAUCUUCUGUGAAUGGGAACAGUCCAGUCACCAGUGCCAUGUGACAAGCUGCCCAAUCUUGGUGACUCAACAGAACUGUUAUUAUGCUCCCAAAUUCCAUGGGUCGGACCCUUGGAGAGGAUGGCAUGAGAGAGUCCCUACAACAGGACUUCUGGAAAGACAUCAUCACAACACAGCAGUGGAUGAUUAGACUGAUCACAGAAGAUGGUGGCAGGAACCUGUCAUCUCCACCACUUCUAGACUUGUCAUUGCCUAGCUGGCUUCAGGACCCACAAAUAGCUUCCGAUUUCCCACCUGGACUUCCUUACAUAUUUCAAAGUGACCCGUGAUCUUGGCCACUUUGAAACACCAUCUCAGUGAACAAAAUGUCUGGAUUCAGUGGCGAGGACAGAGGACUUCCUGUACCAGUACCAUGACUGGAAAAACUACCACGGACUUGGUUUGGACCCCAGAACUUUCUCCUAUGAAGACCAGAACCCAAAGCAUAUGUGGCACCAAAGAAAUUCGGCUCAAGAACCAUGCCAGGCCACUCCUGACAUCUACUUUGUUCUGGAUAGGUCUGCUCACAUGCUGUACGGCUGGCCACACGUUCACAAGUUUGUGCUGGACAUGGUGACGAGGUUAUCAAGCCCGGAUCUGCGAGUGUCUAUCAUCACCUACUCCUGUAAGGGCAACGUCAUCUUGCCCAUCACUGGAGACAGGUCAGUGGACAGGAAGAUUGCUGGGCACCAGGAGGUUCUGGGGUCCAGGGAAAAGCAGCUGAGGCCCACUCUGGGAAAAGGGCAUCUGGAAAAGAGCACUGACUCCAAGGCUGGCCUUUAUACUACAGGCAGAUAAGUGGAGCAUGCCCUCAGAGUGCAGCUCAUGGCAAGCUUUCUUUGACCCCAACAGGAAUCCACUUUAGAGUCAGUGAGAAGAAAUCCUCAAGGGUAUUGAAAGAAUGAAGUAUAGCAUAACUGCAGGACAUGAACUCAUUUACCAAGGAUUGUGGAAGGCAAAUAAGCAGAUAAUAAGGGGCAACAGAAGAGGUGCCCAGCACCCCAGCAUGAUCAUCUUCUUGCUCCAUGGCCCUCUGGAUAAUCAGGGCUAUGGGUAUUCGCUGGAUGAGACUAAUGAUACUCGAAGAAUGGGAGGAUACGUUUGCGGUGUGGGUACUGGUCAGUCUGAGAGAAAUCAGAUAAUAGGACUUGCAGGUGGUCAGGAAUAUGCAUUUACAAACAAGAAACCUGAAGAACUGAGUGACCUCAUUAUACCGUUAUCGUCCAAGGCCUGUCCAUCCCUUAAAACUGCAAUUACACGCAUUAUAUGUAUAAGAGAACCCUGUCUUGCAGCCUUCCUGACGGCUGCGUGUUUCUGAUUAUCGCAGUGGACAAAGAGGCCUUGGCGUCUGGGCAUCUGUGACAAACUGCAGAUGGAAACAUGAGUUGUUUACGAUGAGACAUGCGCCUCUAAGCUUCUAAGCAUCUGUUCAACCACAAACCUGUUAAACUAUUGGCUACCUUAUGCAAACCUGCCUCAUACAAGGUGCCUCUUAUUUGGAGGGAAGCCGAAUCAAACCCAGUGUUACUUGAAGGAUAUGGCUUUGACUUUGCCAGGCGUAAAGAAGACGUUAUCUGCAGGUUCUAUUUUGGUGGCGCAAAAAAGACUAUAAUAGAUUCCCCCCCCAUCAAUAUAACCAAGACAACUGUUACUUGUCCUGGACCAAUUGUAGAUUCUGUGGGAAGAGUGCCUGAAUUUUAGCAUAAGUGUGAGAAGAACUGGGGUUAUCCCUUGAGUCAAGCCCAAGGUCCUUGUCACCAGGCUGUUUCUCAGUGUCUGUCUCUGUGUUAGAGCGAUCCAUAUUCAACUCAGCCUGGACAAUGGAAAAAACUUUCUGCAUAACCAUUUAUACGUUGCCACUAGGACAUGGGGGAAAAGUCCACUAACUACAGUUAGAUACAGCAGUACUACAACCACUAGGAGAACCACAAUUACAACUACCACCACAACUCCAUCUACUACGCCUACCACGACAACCACCGAAACCACCACAAAGGAACCAAAGCCAAGCAUCGAUAAAUUCAUUUUUGCCCCUGUCCUCCUGGCCCUGCUGCUGCUGCUGUUGCUGAUCGGUUGUUUCUGGCAGCUGUGCUGUGUUCCGCCUGUAGAGGAGCUGCCCCCACCUAAGCCCCAACCACAGCCCAGAGAGAAGAAGCAACCUCCUCCGGUGUCUCCCCCGGUACCCACCAGACCUGUAAACCCACCCCCCAUCAUGAUCAUCUGCUGUUGUACCUGUCGUGGUCUGUAUGUGAGCAGAGACACGAAGGGCAAUGUGACUGUGUGCAACUUCAAUCCCCUAUGCUGCCCUCAGUUGCCAUUGAGAUGGCCUCAGUAUGGUGGCCAGGGGCGGUUUGCCAACUGGGCACUCCUGAAGGGACCCUGCAUCCCCAUGGCCAGUCUGCUUGCUGGACGAGAGCAUCUGCCUUUAGUUUCCUGCUCUCAGUGCCACCGCCUCUCAGCUAACCACUCCAGGUAUUCCUCCAACUUACGGCAGCUUGCUCUUCAUCCUUGGGCUCCCAGAGUUCUACAGUCACUCCCUCCUACAUAGUGGACAUCUCAGGGGCACAAAGUGAAGACUAAGAGGUCUUUGCUGCUACAUUUUGUACAUUGGGGUUAGGAUUUUAAUAAAUGGAAUAAUAGAUUGGAACUUGUUGCUG